CAGCCUCUUCGACAAGGACGGCGACGGAUGCAUUACUACGAAGGAGCUGGGUACUGUGAUGCGGUCGUUGGGGCAGAACCCGACUGAGGUUGAGCUGCAGGAUAUGGUCAACGAGGUGGAUGCUGAUCAGAACGGGACCAUUGACUUUCCUGAGUUCUUGAAUCUCAUGGCGCGCAAGAUGAAGGACACUGAUUCCGAGGAGGAACUCAAAGAAGCUUUCAAGGUUUUUG
rnacentral:misc_RNA from 1 species